UUAGAUCAUCGGCUAUUAUUCAAUUGGAUUAAAAGAAGAACUUGCCUGAUGACCGCUGUAUCAAUUGGGCAGAAAAACAAACAAACAAACAAACAAACAAACAAACAGUGACUCAAGUUUGCCAGGCACAUUUUCAGUUCAGAGGCCGGGAAGUCUGCAAAGCACAGUCUUACUGCUACACAGGCACCACCUGACAGUGGUGGAGUGAUGGAGUGGUUUCUUCAGAGUGCUUGGAGCAUUUCAAGGUGUCAUACUGCUUAGGAAACUGAGCACAAAGUCUCACAGAAGCACUGGUUUGCACAGACCAAGAAGUAAGCUCUCAGCUACUACCCAGCCUGCUCCCAGCCUGAUGUUCAUGGAUUCUAACCCUCUUAAGCUUAUUUUUCCUACAAUAUUUGAAGAACAUGAUUCUGGACAGAGUAACUGAAGUCCCCUGGGCCCAGCAUCAGUGUGGGCUGGACUGGCCCACAGGAGGAAUCCAGGCUCAAGGUA